UACGGAAGGAGCAGUGGGGAAUAUUGCACAAUGGGCGCAAGCCUGAUGCAGCCAUGCCGCGUGUAUGAAAAAGGCCUUCGGGUUGUAAAGUACUUUCAGUCGUGAGGAAGGUGUUAAGGUUAAUAACCUUAGCAAUUGACGUUAGCGACAGAAGAAGCACCGGCUAACUCCGUGCCAGCAGCCGCGGUAAUACGGAGGGUGCGAGCGUUAAUCGGAAUUACUGGGCGUAAAGGGCACGCAGGCGGUUAAUUAAGUUGGAUGUGAAAUCCCCGGGCUUAACCUGGGAAUGGCAUUCAAGACUGGUUAGCUAGAGUCUUGUAGAGGGGGUAGAAUUCCAUGUGUAGCGGUGAAAUGCGUAGAGAUGUGGAGGAAUACCGGUGGCGAAGGCGGCCCCUGGCAAAGACUGACGCUCAUGUGCGAAAGCGUGGGGAGCAAACAGGGAUUAGAUACC
rnacentral:rRNA from 1 species